rnacentral:sRNA from 1 species
UUGCAACUCGUUGGGGAGUAGCCUGCUUCCAAUGCUCGGAAGAGUCCGUAUCAACAUAAUUGGCCACAUGCCAUGGUGCGGACACCUCUCGGUUGGCGAGACCAUCGAUAUAUCCAUGCCUGUGGUCGGGCGUGUGGAUGU